GAUGAACGCUAGCGACAGGCUAACACAUGCAAGUCGAGGGGCAGCAUUAUUAAAGCUUGCUUUAAUAGAUGGCGACCGGCGCACGGGUGCGUAACGCGUAUGCAACCUACCCAUUACAAGAGGAUAGCCCAGAGAAAUUUGGAUUAAUACUCUAUAGUAUUUACUCUAAGCAUUUAGAGUUUUUUAAAGGAUUCGUUCUGGUAAUGGAUGGGCAUGCGUAUGAUUAGCUAGUUGGUAGGGUAACGGCCUACCAAGGCAAUGAUCAUUAGGGGUUCUGAGAGGAUAGUCCCCCACACUGGUACUGAGACACGGACCAGACUCCUACGGGAGGCAGCAGUGAGGAGUAUUGGUCAAUGGACGCAAGUCUGAACCAGCCAAGUCGCGUGCAGGAUGACUGCCCUAUGGGUUGUAAACUGCUUUUAUAUAGGAAUAAUGUUAGUUACGUGUAACUAAUUGAAUGUACUAUAUGAAUAAGCACCGGCUAACUCCGUGCCAGCAGCCGCGGUAAUACGGAGGGUGCAAGCGUUAUCCGGAUUUAUUGGGUUUAAAGGGUGCGUAGGCGGGUUCAUAAGUCAGUGGUGAAAGUCUGUCGCUUAACGAUAGAAUUGCCAUUGAAACUGUGGAUCUUGAAUACAGUAGAGGUAGGCGGAAUAUAUUGUGUAGCGGUGAAAUGCAUAGAUACGAUAUAGAACACCGAUUGCGAAGGCAGCUUACUAUGCUGAGAUUGACGCUGAUGCACGAAAGCGUGGGUAGCGAACAGG
rnacentral:rRNA from 1 species